rnacentral:rRNA from 1 species
CGCGCAGGCGGCGGCGUGGGUCCGGCGUGAAAGCCCCCGGCUCAACCGGGGAACGUCGUCGGGGACCGCGCCGCUUGAGGGCGGCAGGGGCCGGUGGAAUGCCUGGUGUAGUGGUGAAAUGCGUAGAGAUCAGGCGGAACACCCGUGGCGAAGGCGGCCGGCUGGGCCGUCCCUGACGCUGAGGCGCGAAGGCGUGGGGAGCGAACG